rnacentral:rRNA from 1 species
UGGGUAAUCUGCCCUGCACUUCGGGAUAAGCCUGGGAAACUGGGUCUAAUACCGGAUAGGACCACUUGGCGCAUGCCUUGUGGUGGAAAGCUUUUGCGGUGUGGGAUGGGCCCGCGGCCUAUCAGCUUGUUGGUGGGGUGACGGCCUACCAAGGCGACGACGGGUAGCCGGCCUGAGAGGGUGUCCGGCCACACUGGGACUGAGAUACGGCCCAGACUCCUACGGGAGGCAGCAGUGGGGAAUAUUGCACAAUGGGCGCAAGCCUGAUGCAGCGACGCCGCGUGGGGGAUGACGGCCUUCGGGUUGUAAACCUCUUUCAGCAGGGACGAAGCGCAAGUGACGGUACCUGCAGAAGAAGCACCGGCCAACUACGUGCCAGCAGCCGCGGUAAUACGUAGGGUGCGAGCGUUGUCCGGAAUUACUGGGCGUAAAGAGCUCGUAGGUGGUUUGUCGCGUUGUUCGUGAAAACCGGGGGCUUAACCCUCGGCGUGCGGGCGAUACGGGCAGACUGGAGUACUGCAGGGGAGACUGGAAUUCCUGGUGUAGCGGUGGAAUGCGCAGAUAUCAGGAGGAACACCGGUGGCGAAGGCGGGUCUCUGGGCAGUAACUGACGCUGAGGAGCGAAAGCGUGGGGAGCGAACAGGAUUAGAUACCCUGGUAGUCCACGCUGUAAACGGUGGGUACUAGGUGUGGGUUUCCUUCCUUGGAAUCCGUGCCGUAGCUAACGCAUUAAGUACCCUGCCUGGGGAGUACGGCCGCAAGGCUAAAACUCAAAGGAAUUGACGGGGGCCCGCACAAGCGGCGGAGCAUGUGGAUUAAUUCGAUGCAACGCGAAGAACCUUACCUGGGUUUGACAUGCACAGGACGCCGGCAGAGAUGUCGGUUCUCUUGUGGCCUGUGUGCAG